rnacentral:rRNA from 1 species
GACGAACGCUGGCGGCGUGCUUAACACAUGCAAGUCGAACGAUGAAGCCGGAGCUUGCUCUGGUGAAUUAGUGGCGAACGGGUGAGUAACACGUGAGUAACCUGCCCUUGACUCUGGAAUAACUGCUAGAAAUGGUAGCUAAUACCGGAUACGACCCUCGGAGGCAUCUCCAGGGGGUGGAAAGAAUUUCGGUCAAGGACGGACUCGCGGCCUAUCAGCUAGUUGGUGAGGUAAUGGCUCACCAAGGCGACGACGGGUAGCCGGCCUGAGAGGGUGAUCGGCCACACUGGGACUGAGACACGGCCCAGACUCCUACGGGAGGCAGCAGUGGGGAAUAUUGCACAAUGGGCGCAAGCCUGAUGCAGCAACGCCGCGUGAGGGAUGACGGCCUUCGGGUUGUAAACCUCUUUUAGUAGGGAAGAAGCGAAAGUGACGGUACCUGCAGAAAAAGCACCGGCUAACUACGUGCCAGCAGCCGCCGUAA